rnacentral:pre_miRNA from 10 species
AAGUACACCCAUACAUGCGUACUUGUGUAACUUAUCUUCAUUUCAAGAUAAGUUACACAAGUACGCAUGUAUGGGUGUACUGA